rnacentral:rRNA from 1 species
GGAGGAAAAGAAACCAACAGGGAUUGCCCCAGUAACGGCGAGUGAAGCGGCAACAGCUCAAAUUUGAAAUCUGGCCUCCUCCGGGGGCCCGAGUUGUAAUUUGCAGAGGAUGCUUCUGGCGCGGCGCCUUCCGAGUUCCCUGGAACGGGACGCCAUAGAGGGUGAGAGCCCCGUCUGGUUGGACGCCUAGCCUCUGUGAAGCACCUUCGACGAGUCGAGUAGUUUGGGAAUGCUGCUCAAAAUGGGAGGUAUAUGUCUUCUAAAGCUAAAUACCGGCCAGAGACCGAUAGCGCACAAGUAGAGUGAUCGAAAGAUGAAAAGCACUUUGAAAAGAGGGUUAAACAGUACGUGAAAUUGUUGAAAGGGAAGCGCUCAUGACCAGACUUGGGCCCCGCGCAUCACCCGGCGUUCUCGCCGGGGCACUUCGCAGGGCCCAGGCCAGCAUCAGUUCGUGGCGGGGGACAAAGGCUUCGGGAACGUGGCUCCCUCGGGAGUGUUAUAGCCCGCUGCGCAAUGCCCUGCCGCGGACUGAGGUUCGCGCUUCCGCAAGGAUGCUGGCGUAAUGGUCAUCANCGAC